rnacentral:rRNA from 1 species
AGCCAGACUCCUACGGGAGGCAGCAGUGGGGAAUAUUGCACAAUGGGGGAAACCCUGAUGCAGCGACGCCGCGUGAGUGAAGAAGUAUUUCGGUAUGUAAAGCUCUAUCAGCAGGGAAGAAAAUGACGGUACCUGACUAAGAAGCCCCGGCUAACUACGUGCCAGCAGCCGCGGUAAUACGUAGGGGGCAAGCGUUAUCCGGAUUUACUGGGUGUAAAGGGAGCGUAGACGGCAUGGCAAGUCAGAUGUGAAAGCCCGGGGCUCAACCCCGGGACUGCAUUUGAAACUGUCAGGCUGGAGUGCAGGAGAGGUAAGUGGAAUUCCUAGUGUAGCGGUGAAAUGCGUAGAUAUUAGGAGGAACACCAGUGGCGAAGGCGGCUUACUGGACUGUAACUGACGUUGAGGCUCGAAAGCGUGGGGAGCAAACAGGAUUAGAUACCCUGGUACGC